rnacentral:rRNA from 1 species
CCCUUAGAUGUCCUGGGCCGCACGCGCGCUACACUGACGGAGCCAGCGAGCUUACCCCUUUGCCGAAAGGCAUGGGAAAUCUUUUGAAUCUCCGUCGUGCUGGGGAUAGAUCAUUGCAAUUAUUGAUCUUGAACGAGGAAUUCCUAGUAAGCACAAGUCAUCAGCUUGUGUUGAUUACGUCCCUGCCCUUUGUACACACCGCCCGUCGCUCCUACCGAUUGAAUGUUCCGGUGAGCUCUUCGGACUGCGCGGUCUGCAGUUUCUGCGUUCCGUGCGGAAAGUUGCGCAAACCUUAACAUUUAGAGGAAGGAGAAGUCGUAACA